rnacentral:misc_RNA from 1 species
UUUCCGUAGGUGAACCUGCGGAAGGAUCAUUAACACAAAAAAUCCGAAAGAGGUGUGGUCUUGUCUCUCUCUUUUCUGAGAGAGAGAAGAUCCCCUCUUUUAUCUACCCAACUGCGCACUUGUUUAACCAAGCGAAUGGGAUUAGGAUUUGUUGAAACACAUUUGUGUGUCUCAACAUUCGGUCCUGUUUGCGCUUUUUGUUUUUUUUAACAAUUAUUUACCCUUUUGAAAAAACUCAGUUGUAGUUUUUUAUUUCUUUCAAAGCAACGAAUGACGUCUGGCCAUGUGCCUGUUUCGUCGAUCGGUUGUUCGAAAAACUGAAAAUACAACUCUUAGCAACGGAUAUCUUGGUUCCC